UUUCCCCCAGAGGACUUUUGAGAGAUUUUUUUUCUAUUUCAGUCAGGAAGUAUUUAAAGCCCUUGGGCAGGUGGAGGACAUCAAAUCUGAUAUUUACCAUUAAAGGCUUGGAGCUCAGUCCCUUCCCUCACUGCCACAGCCUUCAUUCCUCCUGGCCCUGCUGUGGCCACGGCUGCUUCCAUCUGCAGAGCACACAGGGAUCCUCACCAGCCCCCUUGGGGGGAAAAGAAGCAUUUUGCCUAACACCCAGCCUUGCAUCUCUGUCUUGCACAGGUCCUCACCCAAACAGCUCCUGAACCCACCAGCAGCUCUCAGGCUGACUCAGUGCUGGGAUUGCAUUCCUGCCAGGGUCACAUCACCUGGGGGAUGUCCACAUGGGAAGGACCAGACUGGAACAGCAGCUUAAAGACAUGCAGUUCUGGGCUCCCCAGUUCAAGAGUGGUAGGGUUCUACUAGGGAGUGUCCAAAGGAUGCAAUGAGGAUACUGAGGAUGUCUGGUGAGAAAGGGCUGAGAGCCCUGGGGCUGUUGAGCUUGGAGAAGAGCAGCCCCAGAGGGGAUCUGAUCAAUGCUGAUCAAUAUCUGAAGGGUAGGGGGCAAGAAUAAGGGGCCAGGCUCUGUCCUGUGAUAGGACACAAACUGGAACCCAGGAAGUUCCACCUCAACAUGAGGAGAAACUUGUUUAGUGUGAGGGUGCUGGAGGCCAGGAGCAGGCUCCCCAGAGAGGUGGUGGAGUCUCCUUCACUAGAGAGUUUUCAAACCCAUCUGGAUGUGUUCCUGUGUGACCUGCCCUUGGUGAUCCUGCUCUGGCUCCAUGAUCUCCAGAAGUCUCCAUUAAUUCCUGAAGUUGCAUGUGAGGUGCAAGAGUCAGCUGGUUGUGCAAAGGAACACACUUAGCCAUGGCACAUGCUGAGAAGCCUCACUGAAGGCUUUUGAGUGACCUGAAUUUGGACAAUCCAGUCUCAUAGGGACACAAUGAACUCUUCAGCUCUGACCUUUGCUAAGGAGGUAACGCUCAGCAGUCCCUUGGUGACUCUUCCAACACCAAAGCCUGGCAGUGGGUGGUGUUUACAGACAUGAGGGAAGAUGCUGUUUUGUGCCAAAGAAGCUUCAGAACUUGUUUACGUGAGUAGCUGCAAUACCAGACAGACCCUGAAUGACUCCUCACUCCUCGGUGUUUCCAGCUUGUCACCAUCCUCUGGCAGCUUUGAGUUGCUUUGCCUCUUGUGACAGUAACUUGGCACUGCUGGUGUGAUCUGCUCUUGGGGUGGGCUUGGAAGAAUGAGCAUUUGUGCUUCCUGGUACUAAAAACUACAGGAGAGGUUUAGCUGCUGCAAGUAUGAGGCUGUGGGUCUCUGGAACUCCAGGUAUGGUUGGGUUUACCUGGAGGAGGCUCAAGAUGAUCAAGAGGAGACCACCAAGAUGAUCCAAGGGCUGGAGCAGCUCUGCUGUGGAGACUGGCUGGGAGAGUUGGGGCUGUUCAGCCUGGAGAAGAGAAGGCUGCAUAGAGUCUUUAGAGCAGCCUGCCAGAAUCUGAAGGGGUCUUCUGGAGAACUGGGGGAGGGUCACUUCUGGCACAGGCAUGGAGUGACAGGAUGAGGGGUGAUGGCUCCAAACUGGAAGAUGCUGGAUUGAGAGGAGACAUUUGAAAGCAAUUCUUCCCUAUGAGGAUGGUGAGACAUUGGAACAGGUUUCCCAGAGAGGGUGGAGAAGCUCCAAGCCUGGAGGUGUUCAAGGCCAGGUUGGAUGAGGCCUUGAGCAAGCUGGGCUAGUGGGAGGUGUCCCUGGCCAUGGCAAGGGGUUGGAACUGGAUGAUCUUGGAGAAGCUUUCCAACACAAACCAGUGUGGGAUUCUAAGAUACAUCUCCUCAGGUCUCCAGCCUGCAGUGCUGGAGGUUGUUGUGUCCAUGGCAGGUUGAGCGGCUGCUGAUGCCAUCUCAACGCAGACAUCUAAAGCAGCUUAGCAGAGCCCACCAGACCUCAUCUUUCAAACCCCUUUCAGUUAAUUUCUGUGUAAUAAAGUCUGGCCAAAUCCCUUCAUGCAGUGUCAGAACCUCCAUGACUCCAUCUGGCUUGUGCCACUGUCCCCUCAUGGCAGGUGAGUGAUGUCACUAAAUGCUGUUUUAUAAACCAGAGAUGUCUUUCGACUAGAGAUGAGUUUUGCCUCCUCCCUGGAGGAAGUCAAGGUCAGGUUGGAUGAGGCCUUGAGUGAGUUGGGCUAGUUGGAGGUGUCCCUGCCCAUGGCAGGGGGUUGGAACUGGAUGAUCUUGAAGGUCCCUUCCAACCCAAACCCAAUCUAGGAUUCUAUGUCUACAAGUUCAGUGAGGGAGUCCACCCAUGGACAUUGUAGAUGAAGGUCCGGUGGUUUCAUGAGGCUUGUUUGCUGUUAAGCCCUCUCUCUACAUCCCACCACACCAGGAGUGUGGAGGGGACUGUGAUUUGUCACCCUCAGUUGUGUUCAUCGAUGGCUCUUGGAGCUGCUGCUGUGAGAUGUCUCAUUAACUGGAGUCUUCUGUGUGGUCUGGCCCCACCAUGGGCUUCUGGGUGUCAGUUUGUGCAUGAGGGAUCAGCUCUGUGUGUUCUCCUCAGUUCUGAACAUUAACCAUAGCCCCAUGACACUGAGACAGUGCCUGGGCUCUGUGUUUGGUUCUGAGCUUCCAUGAGUGUUGCACAUAAAUUAAACGUUUUGUAUCAUCGCUAA